rnacentral:rRNA from 1 species
UACGAGGGGGGCAAGCGUUGUUCGGAAUUAUUGGGCGUAAAGCGCGCGCAGGCGGUCUUCCAAGUCAGUGGUGAAAGCCCGGAGCUCAACUCCGGAACUGCCAUUGAAACUGUGAGACUUGAGGAUGAGAGAGGUGAGUGGAAUUCCCAGUGUAGAGGUGAAAUUCGUAGAUAUUGGGAAGAACACCGGUGGCGAAGGCGGCUCACUGGCUCAUUUCUGACGCUCAGGCGCGACAGCGUGGGGAUCAAACAGG